rnacentral:rRNA from 1 species
AUGGUAACCCUCUCAUGUUUACUCCCCUCCUGGUGUGCACUCACAAUAAAAACCAUUACUUACCAGCUCAACAAUGUUACAGCUGACAUGGAGGCCUUCCUUAGCGGCAUCAUGGACGAGAAUGCCCUCUCCGGUGACCUCAUGGAUGAUGAGUACUACCUAUUUGCCGGUGAAGCAUCCGACACUGAUAGCACGGACCUCGAUGAGCCCGUAGAAUCCUCCAACACGGGAUCUAUCGACCUAGAUCCUUUCGACUAUGUCUACUCGAACAUCCCAGAUAGCACACACAUCCUGAAGCACGCGGCAAACUGUGAGCAUUGCAAGGCAAAGAAGUUCUAG